rnacentral:rRNA from 1 species
CCGCGUGGAGGAUGAAAUAUCUUGGUAUGCAAACUCCUUUCGAUGGGGAAGAUUAUGACGGUACCCAUAGAAGAAGCCCCGGCUAACUUCGUGC